CUCUUAUCCAGAGCGACUGAGGGAACUGGCCCUAUGAAGUCCAGCAACCAGUACAAAUAUGUACAAUGGUGCCAAAUCCAGCGGUGAAAAUACCGACAGAUGAGAG
rnacentral:ncRNA from 2 species